GACGUAGGGCGCGAGCGUUGUCCGGAUUUAUUGGGCGUAAAGAGCUCGUAGGCGGCUUGUCGCGUCGACCGUGAAAACUCGCAGCUCAACUGCGAGCCUGCGGUCGAUACGGGCAGGCUAGAGUUCGGUAGGGGAGACUGGAAUUCCUGGUGUAGCGGUGAAGUGCGCAGAUAUCAGGAGGAACACCGAUGGCGAAGGCAGGUCUCUGGGCCGAUACUGACGCUGAGGAGCGAAAGCGUGGGGAGCGAACAGG
rnacentral:rRNA from 1 species